UACGAAGGGGGCUAGCGUUGUUCGGAAUUACUGGGCGUAAAGGGCGCGUAGGCGGCUGUGCAAGUCAGGUGUGAAAGCCCUGGGCUCAACCCAGGAUGUGCACUUGAUACUGCGCGGCUAGAGUGUCGGAGAGGAUGGUGGAAUUCCCAGUGUAGAGGUGAAAUUCGUAGAUAUUAGGAAGAACACCAGUGGCGAAGGGCGGCUCACUGGUCCGGU
rnacentral:rRNA from 1 species